rnacentral:rRNA from 1 species
CAUGUAGGCGGAUUGAUAAGUUUGAAGUGAAAUCCUAUAGCUUAACUAUAGAACUGCUUUGAAAACUGUUAAUCUAGAAUGUGGGAGAGGUAGAUGGAAUUUCUGGUGUAGGGUAAAAUCCGUAGAGAUCAGAAGGAACACCGAUUGCGAAGGCGAUCUACUGGAACAUUAUUGACGCUGAGAUGCGAAAGCGUGGGGAGCAAACA